rnacentral:pre_miRNA from 13 species
ACCUUUCUGUAGACGGGAACCGAGUUGAUUUCUUCUGUGUUUAUGAAUCAACACAUAGCGUUCAUAAACCGGAGUAAAUCAGCUCUGAUCUUGUUUGCAUGU